rnacentral:lncRNA from 1 species
UGCUAGAGUACAAUAAUAGUUCUUGGUAGAUAGAAGGUGUUCAGGUACAAUAGUAGGUCUUCAUAGACAGGUGUUGUUAGGGUACAAUAAUAGUUAUUGGUAGAUAGAAGGUGUUAAGGUACAAUAGUAGGUCUUUGUAGAUAGGUUUAGCUAGGGUACAAUAGUAGGUCACUGUAGAUAGUUGUUGCUAGGGUACAAUAGUAGGUCUCUGUCUAUAGUUGUUGCUAGGGAACAAAGUAGGUCUCUGUAGAUAGGUGUUGCUAGGGUACAACAGUAGGUCUUUGUAGAUAGGUGUUGCUAGGGUACAAUAGUAGGUCUUUAGAUAGGUGUUGCUAGGGAACAAUAGUAGGUCUCUGUAGAUAGGUGUUGCUAGGGAACAAUAGCAGGUCUUUGUAGAUAGGUGUUGCUAGGGUACAAUAGUAGGUCUCUGUAGAUAGGUGUUGUUAGGGUACAACAGUAGGUCUCUGUAGAUAGCUGUUGCUAGGGAACAAUAGUAGGUCUUUAAAUCAAAUCAAAUCAAUCAAAUCAAAUUUAUUUUUAUAUAGCCCUUCGUACAUCAGCUGAUAUUCUCAAAGUGCUGUACAGAAACCCAGCCUAAAACCCCAAACAGCAAGCAAAAACUCCCUAGGAAAAACUCCCUAGAAAGGCCAAAAACCUAGGAAGAAACCUAGAGAGGAACCAGGCUAUGAGGGGUGGCCAGUCCUCUUCUGGCUGUGCAGGGUGGAUAUUAUAACAGAACAUAGUCAAG